rnacentral:rRNA from 1 species
UACGACGGGGGCUAGCGUUGUUCGGAAUUACUGGGCGUAAAGCGCACGUAGGCGGAUCGAUCAGUCAGGGGUGAAAUCCCAGGGCUCAACCCUGGAACUGCCUUUGAUACUGUCGAUCUGGAGUAUGGAAGAGGUGAGUGGAAUUCCGAGUGUAGAGGUGAAAUUCGUAGAUAUUCGGAGGAACACCAGUGGCGAAGGCGGCUCACUGGUCCAUUACUGACGCUGAGGUGCGAAAGCGUGGGGAGCAAACAGG